rnacentral:rRNA from 1 species
UUUAACGGCCGCGGUACUUURACCGUGUGAAGGUAGCGUAAUCACUUGUCUUUUAAAUGAAGACCUGUAUGAAUGGCAUAACGAAGGCUUAACUGUCUCAUUUUUCUAGUCAAUGAAAUUGAUCUUCCCGUGCAGAAGCGAGAAUAACAACAUAAGACAAAAAGACCCUGUGGAGCUUAAGACUUCAUAUAGCUUAUUUUAUUAUUGAACUUAAACCCUAUUCUGUCUUCGGUUGGGGCGACCAUGGAGAAAAAUUAUCCUCAAUAAGAAAACACAUGUUUAACAGCUAAGAGCUACACCUCAAAGCUUUAGGACAUCUAAUCUUUCGACCCGGUCAGCCGAUUAAUGAAACAAGUUACCCCAGGGAUAACAGCGCUAUCCCCUUUAAAAGUCCUUAUUAACAAGGGGGUUUACGACCUCGAUGUUGGAUCAGGACAUCCUAAU